ACUCUAGUAGUUUACAGCAAAACAUUGGUCUUGUAAACCAAAAGACGAAGGUUACCCCCUCCUAGAGUUC
rnacentral:tRNA from 1 species